AGUUUCAAUGUUGGCUUUAUUUGACAUAAUAUAUGUUUAAUUUCAAGUAAUUUUUUCUGUAACCGAUUUAUUGUCUCCCUGAUGUCCUCAAAGUGCACGCUCACAAUCACACGGACAUAGUUUCAGCAGAAAACCUUUCACACUACAUAAAGAGAUAUUUCCAGAUAACGUUUUUGAGCAGAUGUUUUGUAUCGGCUGUGUUGUGUGUGGGCCUACAUAACUCCUCAAACUGAUGACACACGGAGACCGUCAGAGCCAGGUCAAAGGUCCUAAGUUCAAAGGUGCUUCCGGAACGUACCACGGCUGGCGAGGGCACGUGUAUGCUGGCCACGGAGCGAGGGCGGAUGUGAUUGGCCAGAUGGCAGAGGACUACUCCGUCCAUGAGGGAGGAGCCUAAGUCUUCAGGAAGAGACACCUUCAGCCGGCUCUCUAUGCUCUGAGGAGGGAGAGCGAGGGAACACUGCCCCCGCAGGCCGGAGGACGGAAUGACAACCACAAGAACACAAACUCAUUAGAUGUGGAU